rnacentral:snoRNA from 1 species
CCUGCCCCUAGAGGCGUUGCAGAUGUGGCUCCUGUGUCACAUGUGCGUCUGUAGGUGGCUGAGAGGAGAGAGGCUAUGUCUACGCUCAGUGUUCUGACCUAUGGACAUCUGAAUGAUAUGUAGCCUAACAUU